AUUGAACGCUGGCGGCAUGCUUUACACAUGCAAGUCGAACGGUAACAGGGUGCUUGCACCGCUGACGAGUGGCGAACGGGUGAGUAAUGCGUCGGAACGUGCCGAGUAGUGGGGGAUAACGCAGCGAAAGUUGUGCUAAUACCGCAUACGUACUGAGGUAGAAAGUGGGGGACCUUCGGGCCUCACGCUAUUCGAGCGGCCGACGUCUGAUUAGCUAGUAGGUGAGGUAAAGGCUCACCUAGGCGACGAUCAGUAGCGGGUCUGAGAGGAUGAUCCGCCACACUGGGACUGAGACACGGCCCAGACUCCUACGGGAGGCAGCAGUGGGGAAUUUUGGACAAUGGGCGAAAGCCUGAUCCAGCCAUGCCGCGUGUCUGAAGAAGGCCUUCGGGUUGUAAAGGACUUUUGUUGGGAAAGAAAAGCAGUCGGUUAAUACCCGAUUGUUCUGACGGUACCCAAAGAAUAAGCACCGGCUAACUUCGUGCCAGCCGCCGCUGUAA
rnacentral:rRNA from 1 species